CCUACGGGUGGCAGCAGUGAGGAAUAUUGGUCAAUGGACGAGAGUCUGAACCAGCCAAGUAGCGUGAAGGAUGACUGCCCUAUGGGUUGUAAACUUCUUUUAUAAAGGAAUAAAACGAGGCACGUGUGCCUUUUUGCAUGUACUUUAUGAAUAAGGAUCGGCUAACUGCGUGCCAGCAGCCGCGGUAAUACGGAGGAUCCGAUCGUUAUCCGGAUUUAUUGGGUUUAAAGGGAGCGUAGAUGGGUUGUUGAGUCAGUUGUGAAAGUUUGCGGCUCAACCGUAGAACUGCAAUUGAUACUGGGAGUCUAGAGUGCAGUUGAGGUAGGCGGAAUUCGUGGUGUAGCGGUGAAAUGCGUAGAUAUAACGAAGAACUCCGAUUGCGAAGGCAGCUUACUAAACUGCCACUGACAUUGAUGCUCGAAAGUGUGGGUAUCAAACAGGAUUAGAUACCCCAGUAGUC
rnacentral:rRNA from 1 species